AUGGUGGCUGUUGGCCAAGUAAAUCUCAUGGAGAUGGUGUUAUCACAAUGUGCUAUUUGCAUUAGCUCUUUAUCUUUUCUGUUCUUUCUGUUCAUGUCUUGUUUAGAUUUGUCUCUGUUACGUGCUAUGUUUAUUCAUUUUAGCACCUCUAGUAGUCAUUUUCACCAUUAAAGUAUAAAGGUUUUUGCUUAAAUAUCGGUGGCUCAAGGCUGGUUUUGUUAGUUUCCGUUGAUUUGGAAAUCUUUCAGAUAAUGUGCCGUGUCUAUUUGCUUGAUAUUGCAAUUUGCAGUUCUAUUUUUCUACUUGAAGCCUAGUGCUAGUUCUAUUUGACUGAGACCUUUCACUUACAUUUCAUGAACAUUAGUGCCCACUUUAUAUGAGUAGGCUAGUUAUUGUUUUUAUUUAGUAAACUAGGGUACAAGUACUACUUACCUGACAUAGUAUCUUUUAUUUUAAACAUCUUUAUUUGCUGAUUGUAACCACUUUUCCAAUCGAAAUCUUCGGGUAUAUAAAUGUUGUGGGAUACAUUUCUGAAUGUAAUUUGGGAAAGCGUGCCAAAUGGUUGUGCUAUUCAUGAUAUUUUGAUGCUUGUUCAUAGAAUUCUGACUUAUGUGUUUGUUCUAAAACAAUUGGUUAAUGUUGUUGCCUCUGUCUUGUAGCACUGCUGUGGUUGCUUACUGCAGCAUGUAUCAAGACGGGGAGGCCUCAGACUGCUAAGAGAGCAAUUGAACAGGUGGAGCAGCGGCUCUCAAAAGACAGGUGGCCAGAAUACUAUGACGGCAUGGCAGGGAGAUAUGCCAGGAAGUAAGCGAGGAAGUACCAGACCUGGAGCAUCUCAGGAUAUCUGGUAGCUAAACUGAUGAUCGAGAACCCAGCCAAUCUUUCACUAAUCCCUCUUGAAGAGGACAAGAAGAUAGCCAAGCCAAGGCUCACCCGCUCCGCUUCCUUUUGA
rnacentral:lncRNA from 1 species